rfam:Myotis lucifugus cont2.2004, whole genome shotgun sequence.
AUCACUUCUCGGCCUUUUGGCUAUGAUCAAGUGUAGUAUCUGUUCUUAUCAGUUUAAUAUCUGAUACAUCCUCUAUCCGAGGACAUUAUAUUAAAUGUAUUUUUGUAAUAGAAUGGGCUAACAGAAGAAAAGAAAAAGCAACAGAGAGAUGGAAUAGGGAGACGGAAUAGGAGCUUGCUCCGUCCACUCCACACAUUGACCUGGCAUUGCAGUACCCCCAGGAACGGUGCACACACA